UACACACCGCCCGUCACACCAUGGGAGUCUGUUGCUCCAGAAACGGCUGCGCUAACCCGCAAGGGGGGCAGGUCUUUAAGGAGUGGCAGGUAACUGGGGUG
rnacentral:rRNA from 1 species